GGCGGUUCUCCAGUGAUGAACCCUGGAAUUGGGCUCCCUCCUGUCUGGUUCUGGGUGCCUCUGGUUCCGGGUGUGUCACCCGAGAACUGAGCA
rfam:Myotis davidii contig323359, whole genome shotgun sequence.